GGAAGAAUGGCCAUUCAAGCACUUUCAGAGGAGGCAGAGUGGUAGAUGGGAAGACUGUUCUGGGUUUACAACGACAUAAUGUAUAGUCCCCUCACCCACCUGUGAACAUUUCAAUCACUCUUUUUAAAGGAAUAACAAGUACAAAAGAGACUAGGCCAACUUUCAUAAGAUGCUCUGAGAUAAAGGGGAAGUGAGGCGUGAUGCAUGGACACAUGGUAAAUAGAGAUAUCUGCCACUGUUUGCCAGAUACACCUUACGAGACACAUCUCACAUCAAGACUGUAUCACUCACAAGAUGGAAGCAGAGGGUUCCAAAGCCCUAGUGGGUGCAGAGACACAGAUGGGAGAAGCCUGGAUCCCUAAAUCGCACACUGAGGAAAACCGGCUACCAUCCAGGAAAACCUGUGUUGUACUAUUGUAGAAGUGACUCUACUUCUACGGGUUAAAUUGCUGAAACUUAAGGAUUUUUUGUUACUGUAUUGGGUGUGCCUUAACUGAUACAAGGAUUGGGAUUGUACUGUGACUCUGCCUCUCUAUGAGUCCUCUUUAAAGAUG
rnacentral:lncRNA from 10 species